UACGUAGGUGGCAAGCGUUGUCCGGAAUUACUAGGUGUAAAGCGCGUGUAGGCGGGAGGCCAAGUCUGCUGUGAAAUCGCCCGGCUCAACUGGGCGGGGUCGGUGGAAACUGGUCACCUGGAGGACGGUAGAGGCGAGUGGAAUUCCCGGUGUAGUGGUGAAAUGCGUAGAGAUCGGGAGGAACACCAGUGGCGAAGGCGGCUCGCUGGGCCGGACCUGACGCUGAGACGCGAAGGCGUGGGGAGCGAACGGG
rnacentral:rRNA from 1 species